GGCUAAAUAUCUGAGAUACCGUUAAGUGGUUUUAGUCAUAAGUAAGUUAUAACAACUGAAACUGAAUUCUCA
rnacentral:ribozyme from 1 species